rnacentral:rRNA from 15 species
GGUAAUGAUGGCAGAGAGGUCACACCCGUUCCCAUACCGAACACGGAAGUUAAGCUCUCUAGCGCCGAUGGUAGUUGGGACCUUGUCCCUGUGAGAGUAGGACGUUGCCAGGC